AGGCCGGCGAUGCUCCGCGCUCGUCGUCCUCGACCUCCCUGUUGGACUUAGCCGGGCCAUCGCGCCCGGCUUUUUUU
rnacentral:ncRNA from 1 species